rnacentral:sRNA from 1 species
CUUGGUUCAGUUCAUUUCUGACUCUCACAGGUGUUCUUUCCAAAGCUGGCCCGGGGCUGGUAUUUUGGGUCCCUGUGACGUUUUGGGGUUUUGACUGUUCAUCCCACACUCUUCUUGAGCCUGUCCUCUGUUGAUGUUUGAAUGGAGAUCUGAGCACAGCUAAUACCUCUCCCAUUGCCUUCCCCUACCCACUGCUUUUUCCUGACUCCUCCUUGGUGGCCAUGCCCACAGCCCCUUGCAUUCAGGAGUUCCUCACCCUUCUGGCCGUGUGCCACACGGUUGUUCCUGAGAAGGAUGGAGAUAACAUCAUCUACCAGGCCUCUUCCCCAGAUGAAGCUGCUUUGGUGAAAGGAGCUAAAAAGCUGGGCUUUGUCUUCACAGCCAGAACACCAUUCUCAGUCAUCAUAGAAGCGAUGGGACAGGAACAAACAUUCGGAAUCCUUAAUGUCCUGGAAUUUUCUAGUGACAGAAAAAGAAUGUCUGUAAUUGUUCGAACUCCUUCAGGACGACUUCGGCUUUACUGUAAAGGGGCUGAUAAUGUGAUUUUUGAGAGACUUUCAAAAGACUCAAAAUAUAUGGAGGAAACAUUAUGCCAUCUGGAAUACUUUGCCACGGAAGGCUUGCGGACUCUCUGUGUGGCUUAUGCUGAUCUCUCUGAGAAUGAGUAUGAGGAGUGGCUGAAAGUCUAUCAGGAAGCCAGCACCAUAUUGAAGGACAGAGCUCAACGGUUGGAAGAGUGUUACGAGAUCAUUGAGAAGAAUUUGCUGCUACUUGGAGCCACAGCCAUAGAAGAUCGCCUUCAAGCAGGAGUUCCAGAAACCAUCGCAACACUGUUGAAGGCAGAAAUUAAAAUAUGGGUGUUGACAGGAGACAAACAAGAAACUGCGAUUAAUAUAGGGUAUUCCUGCCGAUUGGUAUCGCAGAAUAUGGCCCUUAUCCUAUUGAAGGAGGACUCUUUGGAUAACUCUUUUCAUCUUCCCAAACCAAAAUUCUGUGCCCCUUUGAACAACUACUCUCCAUUCCCACACCUACCUCAUCCCCUGGCAGUCAUUCUACUUUGUGUCUCUAUGAAUUUCACAGCUGCCACAAGGGCAGCCAUUACUCAGCACUGCACUGACCUUGGGAAUUUGCUGGGCAAGGAAAAUGACGUGGCCCUCAUCAUCGAUGGCCACACCCUGAAGUACGCGCUCUCCUUCGAAGUCCGGAGGAGUUUCCUGGAUUUGGCACUCUCGUGCAAAGCGGUCAUAUGCUGCAGAGUGUCUCCUCUGCAGAAGUCUGAGAUAGUGGAUGUGGUGAAGAAGCGGGUGAAGGCCAUCACCCUCGCCAUCGGAGACGGCGCCAACGAUGUCGGGAUGAUCCAGACAGCCCACGUGGGUGUGGGAAUCAGUGGGAAUGAAGGCAUGCAGGCCACCAACAACUCGGAUUACGCCAUCGCACAGUUUUCCUACUUAGAGAAGCUUCUGUUGGUUCAUGGAGCCUGGAGCUACAACCGGGUGACCAAGUGCAUCUUGUACUGCUUCUAUAAGAACGUGGUCCUGUAUAUUAUUGAGCUUUGGUUCGCCUUUGUUAAUGGAUUUUCUGGGCAGAUUUUAUUUGAACGUUGGUGCAUCGGCCUGUACAAUGUGAUUUUCACCGCUUUGCCGCCCUUCACUCUGGGAAUCUUUGAGAGGUCUUGCACUCAGGAGAGCAUGCUCAGGUUUCCCCAGCUCUACAAAAUCACCCAGAAUGGCGAAGGCUUCAACACAAAGGUUUUCUGGGGUCACUGCAUCAACGCCUUGGUCCACUCCCUCAUCCUCUUCUGGUUUCCCAUGAAAGCUCUGGAGCAUGAUACUGUGUUGACAAGUGGUCAUGCUACCGACUAUUUAUUUGUUGGAAAUAUUGUUUACACAUAUGUUGUUGUUACUGUUUGUCUGAAAGCUGGUUUGGAGACCACAGCUUGGACUAAAUUCAGUCAUCUGGCUGUCUGGGGAAGCAUGCUGACCUGGCUGGUGUUUUUUGGCAUCUACUCGACCAUCUGGCCCACCAUUCCCAUUGCUCCAGAUAUGAGAGGACAGCUCACAUGCAUGGUUUGUCCUGAUACGAGCACACAAACACUAGCUGGAUAUUGCCCUCCGUGCUGCACGGCGGGUCCCUGUGCCCCGGAGCCCCACUCCUCCUCGGCUGCUCCACGCACUGGAAACUGCGUCUGACAGAAAGAUUAAACGUCUGCAUUUUAUCACCUUUGUUG